rnacentral:rRNA from 1 species
UACGAAGGGGGCUAGCGUUGUUCGGAAUUAUUGGGCGUAAAGAGCUCGUAGGCGGUCUGUCACGUCUGCUGUGAAAACUCGGGGCUUAACCCCGGGCCUGCAGUGGGUACGGGCAGACUAGAGUGCGGUAGGGGAGACUGGAAUUCCUGGUGUAGCGGUGAAAUGCGCAGAUAUCAGGAGGAACACCGGUGGCGAAGGCGGGUCUCUGGGCCGUAACUGACGCUGAGGAGCGAAAGCGUGGGGAGCGAACAGG